rnacentral:rRNA from 1 species
GGAAUCUUCCACAAUGGGCGAAAGCCUGAUGGAGCAACGCCGCGUGCAGGAUGAAUGCUUUCGAGUUGUAAACUGCUUUUCUUUGUGAAGAUUAUGACGGUAGCAAAGGAAUAAGGAUCGGCUAACUCCGUGCCAGCAGCCGCGGUCAUACGGAGGAUCCAAGCGUUAUCCGGAAUUACUGGGCGUAAAGAGUUGCGUAGGUGGCAUAGCAAGUAAAUAGUGAAAGAGUCUCGCUCAACGAGAUAUCCAUUAUUUAAACUGCUAAGCUAGAGAACGAGAGAGGUAGAUGGAAUUUCCAGUGUAGGAGUGAAAUCCGUAGAUAUUGGAAGGAACACCGAUGGCGUAGGCAGUCUACUGGCUCGUUUCUGACACUAAGGCACGAAAGCGUGGGGAGCA